rnacentral:rRNA from 1 species
ACCUUCCGAAAGGGAGGCUAAUCCCGCGUAUAUUCCCUGGGGGCAUCCCUGGGGGAGGAAAGGGUUACCGGUGGAGGAUGGGCAUGCGGCGCAUUAGGCAGUAGGCGGGGUAACGGCCCACCUAACCGACGAUGCGUAGGGGUUCUGAGAGGAAGGUCCCCCACACUGGUACUGAGACACGGACCAGACUCCUACGGGAGGCAGCAGUGAGGAAUAUUGGUCAAUGGGGGAAACCCUGAUGCAGCGACGCCGCGUGAGCGAAGAAGUAUUUCGGUAUGUAAAGCUCUAUCAUCUGGGAAGAAAAUGACGGUACCUGACUAAGAAGCCCCGGCUAAAUACGUGCCAGCAGCCGCGGUAAUACGUAUGGGGCAAGCGUUAUCCGGAUUUACUGGGUGUAAAGGGAGCGCAGGCGGCUUGGCAAGUCUGAUGUGAAAGGCUGGGGCUCAACCCCAGGACUGCAUUGGAAACUGUUAGGCUGGAGUGUCGGAGAGGUAAGCGGAAUUCCUAGUGUAGCGGUGAAAUGCGUAGAUAUUAGGAGGAACACCAGUGGCGAAGGCGGCU